GCGGAGGAAAAUAAACUAACAAGGAUUCCCCUAGUAACGGCGAGCGAAGCGGGAAGAGCUCAAAUUUGAAAGCUGGCGCCUUCGGCGUCCGCGUUGUAAUCUCGAGACGUGUUUUCCGUGCGGCGCUAUGGACAAGUCCCUUGGAACAGGGCAUCGUAGAGGGUGAAAAUCCCGUACUUGCCAUGGAUGUACCGUGCUUUGUGAUACACGCUCUAAGAGUCGAGUUGUUUGGGAUUGCAGCUCAAAAUGGGUGGUAGACUCCAUCUAAAGCUAAAUAUCGGGGAGAGACCGAUAGCGAACAAGUACCGUGAGGGAAAGAUGAAAAGCACUUUGGAAAGAGAGUUAAAAGUACGUGAAAUUGUCGAAAGGGAAGCGCUUGAAGUCAGCCAUGCUGCGCGGACUCAGCCCGGCUGAUGCCUGGUGUAUUUCCCAGCAGCAAGCCAGCAUGGAUUUGGGUCGCCGGAGAAGGGCACGAGGAAUGUGGCACUUCGUGUGUGUUAAGCCUCGUGCUGGAUACGGCGAGCUGGAUCCAGGAACGCAGUGUGCCUCUGGCGGGUCUUCGGACACCUUCACACUUAGGAUGCUGGCGUAAUGGCUUUAAGCGGCCCGUCUUGAACC
rnacentral:rRNA from 1 species